rnacentral:lncRNA from 1 species
UUUUCUUCCAUCAAAGCUUCAUGUUGGCUCUUAGCAAUAUAUGCAUGAACUGAAAGAGACUCAACACGAUCCUCCCAACCUGUUGCACCUCGUAUUGUAGGUACAGUCCUCAAUAACGCUUCUCGAGGUAAUUUCCCUUCUUGUAUUGUAGAAAUGGCAGAAGCCCAAAACUCACUAGUUUUCGUACUUCCACCAAGUUCAUCAUCUAC